ACCCACUCUACCCAGGUGGCAGCUUCGACCCAUUAGGCCUUGCUGAAGACCCGGAGGCAUUUGCUGAGCUCAAGGUAAAGGAGAUUAAGAACGGCAGACUUGCUAUGUUCUCUAUGUUUGGAUUCUUUGUUCAAGCCAUUGUUACCGGAAAGGGUCCAUUGGAGAAUCUUGCUGACCACCUUGCAGAUCCAGUUAACAACAAUGCAUGGGCCUUUGCCACAAACUUUGUUCCCGGCAAAUGAAUAUCAUAAAAUGUUCUCUAGAUAUUAUUGUUUGAUGGCUUUGUAAAGUUUUAGUUGUGAGUUUACUUGACAAUAGAAUGAUUUUUUCUUAGUCCUGAAUUUCAUUUGAUGAAUGAAAUACUGCAAAAUUCAUAUUGAAGGGGAAAAUUGAUGACGAAGCAAAAUUAACAAGACCAGAGUUAAAUUUGAGGUGUGGUAAAAGCUUAAACCUGAAUAUACAGACCAGAGGAACUUAUGGAAUUCAAUUAAUUCUCAAGAAGCAAUACUCCAACUUAGACAUUGAACGACAUGCUGUUUAUUUACUUCCAUGAUUCUUUAUUUUUCUGUCAAGAAGUGAAAGAGAAAUUAAGGGAAAACCAAUGGACAGUAUGUUUUAUAAUCUGAACGUAGCGAGUAAUAUAUGAGUUUCCGGGUCAUUACACUUAUGUGUCCACAUCCAUGAAGUUCUUGUAUUUUCCUCCUUCCUUACAUGGCACAUCAUAGCAAUGACCAGAGCCAAAGGGACAUAAUAAGCAGAAGAUACAAGUUAAAUAUACAUGCAUGGCACUUAUUAGAGAGGAAAUCAAGUUCUCGCUGACAUUGUGAAAAAUGCUUAUACAAUCAUAUCAUUAUUAACAGGGCAGAGGUAGACUUCAGCGAUGAAUGGAAUGUCCCACAUCGAUGAAUGAAUGACCUCUUUAUAAGUGUUGAACAAUUCUCUACCCUUUGAGAUAACUUUUGAGGUUCAGUUAGUCACAAGAUUCAUUUCCACCCGGUUUGACAAAACCAAGUAGCUGGUCCAACGUCAACACAUGCAUAUGUGUUAAGAAAUUUAUUAAAUAUGUGGAACUACUAAAUUUAGAAUCGAUUAGAAUUUAAGGUCGCCUUUUAGAUUUCAGAACCCAUGAAGUUCAAAUCUUGAUCCGUGUUUGCUUAUUAGGUACUAGUCUUAGGGAACGUGCGCUGCACGUUUGUCCUUUAUUGUUAAAUUUCUAUAUACUAAAAUAUUGAGUUAUAAAAAAGGAAAUUUUGAAAUUAGCAAUAGUAGUUUUACUAUUUAUAUUUUGUUCACUAAAUAAUUAAAAAAAAAUAUUAUGAAUACUUAAGCAUUUUUGUUAUUCUUCAUUUGAAGUUUCUCUUUCUCUUUUCUUCUCAUACUAGUUUCUGAGGACGUGCUUCGCACGUAUGUUUCAUGUAAAUUUUUAUAGAUAUGUUAGAAUGACUAAAGUUUCAUGAAAAUAUAUAUGUAAAUUGUAGAGAAUAAUAAAAUGUAACAAAUACAAAAUAAGAAAGACUUACGCAAUAAAACAUUCAUAAAAAACUAAAUUAAAAAGUUUAAUGAAAAAAAAAAAAGACAAAAAGAAACAGAUCUAAGGAAAAAUAUAAUGUAUACAUUAUUCUUAUAAGACUGAUGUAUGCAUAGAUGAAAAAAUAAGUACAUAACUCUCUGAGUUCUUAUCAACUCCUUCCAUAUCCUAUCAAAAUUCUAGAGGCUUCUUCAUCUACUUUAACUAUAGAAUAAACAUGUAGCCUAAUAAUCUUGGUAGGAGUUUCAUGAGAUAAAGAAGUUGAAUUUAUAUAGAUAGAAUAGAAGGAAUAUCAAAAGAAAUCUUAAAGUUUUAGUUUAAAUAUUUAGAUGUUAUGAAUAUGAAAAGAUGGGAGUUAUGAAUAUUAAGAGUAUAAAAGUUGAAUAAGUAAUUAACAAAUAAUAAUAAAUAAAUGAAGAAUAUGAAAAAGAAAAUUAAAAUUAGCAAACCAUGUAGAAAGAACAACUAAAGUUCUUAUCACGUAAUAAGCGUUAAUGAAUUUAAAUUUGUGAAGAUAGAGUCGUUCUUUAAUAAUAGUCAAGAGGACAGUAUCAAUGUGUGUCUCCAUUUUGCAGAUUUGCAAUCUUUAAAUUAUUAAAUUUCGUUAUUUAUCAUUAAGGAUAACACUUUAUCCAUAUAAAUUAUAUUAUUCAUGUUAAGGAAAAAAUUAUGAGAAGAGGAAAAAUAUAGCAAUUUAGAUAGAGAUCAUUUUAAAAAAAAAUUAGAAUUAUUAUAUAUAUAGAUUAUAAAUCAUAAAUAUUAAUUAAUUAGAUAUUUAAUUAGAAAUUAAUCUUAAGAAGUCUAAAAGUCAUUAACAUUUUAAUUAAAUUUAUACAAUCAAAUAUUUAAAUAGUUUAUAACAAUUUAAUUUAUAGAAGGGGUAAAAUCGUAAUUCAACUUUUAACUUUUUUUGUUCAUGCUUUUAGUAAUAUAUGAUUGAAUUAUGCACAUAACAUAAAUCUUUAUAAAUUGAUUCUUAAAGCAUAUUGAAAUUUUAAUUCUGAAAGUGUUCUUAGAAUAAUGGAGAGAAUCUUCAUAUUCAACUUUCAUUUUUACAAAAUUAUGAUUAUGAGUAAUAAUUAAUAUUUAAUAAUCACGCGAAAGAAUAACUUAACUAUUUAUGGGUCCAACCAAUAAUCUGGAAAUUGAGUUUGCAAUUUUUCAGUCAUAAUUAAAAUUUUACAUCAACAAUAAUAGCUUCUCAUCACAGUAAAUAGAAGUAUGAUGCAAACAAUAUAUAAGUUCUAAAAGACAUCAUCAAUUUGGUACAUAUGCAAAUGAUAUAAACACUAAUUGAUAUAUUACGAAUACACCUGCAGCCAUCAUCAUAAUUAUUAUGUUAAUUAUUUUAAUUAUUCCAUCACAUAUGCAUCUUCUUUUUAACCUUAAAGAAAUAUUAUCAUAUGAUUUAUGAAGAGAAAAGAAUAAUACUCUCUUUUUUUAUAAAAUUUCCCUUUGAAUAAUUAAUAUAAAUGGAGCAACACAAACUUUUCAAAAUGACUUAUUCUAGAUAUAUGGUCAAUUUGAAGAAUGAAUGUUUCCACAAACAAAUAAUAAACUAAUAAGAUCAAUAGAUUAUACAAUAUAAACGAAAAGUCAAAUAAAAAAACAUUUAAAAAAAUCAUAUGUGAUUUUUUUCAUUUAGUUAUUCCUCUCAUUACUAAUAAAUAAUAAUCUCAAAAAUAUAUUUAAACUAAAGUAAAACACUCUAUAGAUAGUCGCAAAUAAAAAUUAACUGAUUAAUCUUUCAUUAUGAAUUUCAUCAAUGAUUAAGAAAUAUAGGAGAACAUGAAUUGUAUAUAACUAAUUUUCAUAUAGGACACAAGAUAUUCCACUAGAAAACAAAAUUAUAAGAAAGUAUAUCGAUCAAAAUAUUAAAAAAGGAUGUACAAAAUACUUAAGCUUGACAAGAAUGAGUGGAUAAAAACAAAAGGAAAUUAUUGCAAUACAAUAUAAUGAGCAAGAUUAAUUUUUUUGCUUGAUAAUCUCUCAUCCUCCUCUUAUCACUUACAUAAAGACCAUGCUAGGUAUUUUAUAGCUGUAGGUACGAUGACUUUUGAGUAGAUAAAAUUAAUUUCAUUAAAUUAGUUCGAUGAUUUUAGUCCAUAUCAAAUUUAUGUAAAGGAAAAACUCUUCAAAUACUCUUGAUUUUUACAACAAAAGAGAAAUUAAUUAUUAAUGUGAAUUUGAUUCAUGCACUGAUUUAAAUAAGUUAUUUAUUAAAUAUUUAAUUAUAUUUUAUAUUAUUUGUUUUAAUUAUUUUAUAUUAUUAUUUGUUUUAAUUAUUUUAAUAUAAGGGUAAAAUGGUAAUUCAACUUUGAGCUUUGAAUCUUCCCACUUAUAAUAAUAUGAUUUACAAGUUAAUCAUAUCAAUAUCAUAUCAUAUAUUAUUAUAAGUGGAAGAUUUUAUCUUCAAAGUUGAAUUAUAGUUUUGUCCUUAUUAUUAACUAGUUCUGGAAAUGUGUCUUGCACGUUUGACCUCUGUUACUGUUACAAUUUAUAUAGACCCAAGAUAUAAAAUUGCUCGACAUUGUCUGACGUACUCCUAUAUGUCUUUUUGUGCAUAUAAAAUAAAUUUUUUUAGUGUUUACUUUUUGCCUAGAACUUAAACAUAAACAUUUUCUUUGGUGAAUGAUGAACAACUUGUAAGGCUAGAACUAAUUCCUAAGGCUGAAAUUUCUUGGAUAUAAAUACUCCAACAAUCAUUAAAAAUAAAAAAAAUUGAAUGAAGGACACAAACCAAUAAGAAAAAUAGUGACUAAUAAAAAAAUAUUACAAGAACAAAUAGAUUAUAUGUUUCUCUAACAACCAUGAAAAUAAAAAAUGAACGAAGGCACAAAUCAAUAAGAAAAAUAGUGACCAAUAAAAAAUACUCCUUACAGAAGAACUAUUAGAUGAUGAAAACAAAGUGUGGUGGAUUAAUAUUUUUAUCCAAUUCAUAAAGGGAGAAAUUAAGUACAUGAAAGGUUUGUGCAUGAAUGUGUUUAAUGGUAGAAGCUACAAAGUUUAAACAAUCAAAUUCAUUAAGAAAUGGAAAAUGAUAAGUUGUAACAUCUAAUCAUAUAUUUGGUCUAGUUUAAUUAUCAUUAUUGAUUUAGUUUUAAAAAUUAGUAAAAGAUUUUUUAAUUUAAAAAAUUGGUGAAGGGCAUUUUCGUAAUCUAACUUUAAACUUAAAAUCUUUACACUUAUAAUAAUAUAUGAUAUGAUUAAAAUAUUUUUAAAACCUAAUUAAUUAAACAUCAAGUAACAAUAUUUUAGUUAUUUUUUAGAUCAUGAGUUAUUUAUUAGCAUGAAAAUUAAAUAAUUAUUAAUUAUAUUGUAUAAUAAAUUAACCAAAACAAAUAGUUACAAAUUAAAUGCAAGUGCAUAUAUGGUGAAGAAUUCAAUUACAAAUUAAUUGCAAAUGAAUGUAUGGUGAAGAAACCAAGAGUUAUUUGUAUGACUUCUUUUUUUCAGCAUGACUUUUGAGUUUCUAUAUGUCAUUAUAUAUUUAGUAACUUUCGAUUUUUCAGGUUGAAGUAAUGUUGAAUGAAAGAAAAUCUACAUAUACACGCAUAUAUUAUGUUCUACUUAUAGAUUCUAUUAUGUAUUUAUUCUUUUAUAUUUGCUCUAUUUUGUUUGCUUUUUAAAUUUAAUUUUUUGUUGUUUGUUUUAUCUUUUUCACCCCAAGUCAUGGAAUACUAUUAUACUCGUCAUAUGAUUAUUUUUAGAGUUGAAAAGUUGGAAAACACUAAUGUUAGUUUUUCUUUUUGAUAGUUACGUAUUUUAAACUAAAGUACUUAAAAACUAAAUAAAUCCUAUAAAAUUGAAUGCUCACAUACAAUUUAAAGACAUAUUUUUACUUUUCGAUCAAAUUCCUUUCUUUGGAUAUUUUUCACCAAAAGUUAGUAAUAAUAAGAAAAUGUAUGACCCCCCCCCCCCCACCCAAAAAAAAAAAAAAUUUGAACAACUUCAACAGUGGACUUUUGGAACACAAAAUCUCUUCCUUUAUUUGAAAUAUAGUAUUUAAUAAUAUUCAUGAAGUUUUAAAAAAAUAAAUACAUUGAUAUGGAGUACCUUCAAAAUUGGAUUACAUUUCAAAAACUAAUUAAUUUAUAAUGACGUAACAAAGCCUAUUCAGAUUCUUGAUGUUAUUGUGUCUUUAUGCUAUUAAACUUUAAUUCAAAUUACACUUGAACGUGUAAUUGCAUGAAUUACCAUAGAUAAUUUUUAUUAUGAGAUGAUAUAUUGUAGUUGAAUUUGUAUUUUAGAGGAUUAAUUCAUUGUUUGAAGUUCUUUGUCUAAUUUAAUGUGGCAUCGCACGAAGCACAUUGAUCUUAAUAGUUUGUCAUGUAACAUUUGACAUUAUCUAUACAUUUUAACUAAUUAUUUCUAUUAAAUUCGAUUAUGAAAGGACUCUGAAGUUUCAGGUAAAAGGUAACCUAUAUCCCUUUCAAAAGUUUAUAUAACUUAUCACACAUUUAAUCUAAUAUUAUUUUAAUAAACUAUCACUCUUAGCCUGAAAUACACGUGCAACGCACAAACUUGAAAAUUAGUCUUUUAAUAAACAUUACUUGAUAAUCUGGAGAAAAAAAAAUGAAUUUCAAUUUUUCGUCAAUUUAUUUAGUGAAAGGCUAAAGCAUAGCUAUAGUGCUGAUAGAUAAAAUCUGGAGAAAUUCCCAAUGGAUAAUGAUAAGAGAUAUGAGUGUAUUGUAAGCUCAACAAAUCAGAGGGUAGAGUUCAAUCCUUGUAGCCACACAUAGGAGGACAAUAUUGGAUGGGUCCCUUUAGUUGUAAACGUCUUGUAAAAUUGGAGAUUGCCAAGAGUGCAUUAAUUGCUACACAUGGGAUCUUGAUAUCCAAUGAGAUCAUAGAUAUAGAUAUCACUAGAUAAUUAAGACUCUUUUUCCCUCUUAAUUACUCCCUAUAUAUAUGGUGAAUUAGUUCCUUUGUAACUUCAUCUCAUCAAAACCAACUUCAACAGUAUCAUCAAACACUUACAUUUCUCUUGAUAUAAACACAAUGGCAGCUGCAACAAUGGCUCUUUCUUCCCCUUCUUUUGCUGGACAGGCGGUGAAACUCUCACCCUCUGCCUCAGAAAUCUCUGGAAAUGGAAGGAUCACUAUGAGAAAGGCUGUCGCCAAGUCAGCCCCAUCUAGCAGCCCAUGGUAUGGCCCUGACCGUGUUAAGUACUUGGGACCAUUCUCUGGUGAGUCACCAAGCUACUUGACCGGUGAAUUCCCUGGUGACUACGGCUGGGAUACCGCUGGACUUUCAGCAGACCCAGAAACCUUUGCCAAGAACCGCGAACUUGAGGUGAUCCACUGCAGAUGGGCUAUGCUUGGUGCUCUUGGCUGUGUCUUCCCUGAGCUAUUGGCUCGUAACGGCGUCAAGUUCGGUGAGGCUGUGUGGUUCAAAGCUGGAUCCCAAAUCUUCAGUGAGGGUGGACUUGACUACUUGGGCAACCCAAGCUUGGUCCAUGCACAAAGCAUCUUGGCCAUCUGGGCUUGCCAAGUUGUACUCAUGGGAGCCGUUGAAGGUUACCGUAUUGCUGGUGGCCCUCUUGGUGAGGUUGUCGACCCACUCUACCCUGGUGGCAGCUUCGACCCACUGGGUCUUGCUGAAGACCCAGAGGCAUUUGCUGAGCUCAAGGUAAAGGAGAUCAAGAACGGUAGACUUGCCAUGUUCUCUAUGUUCGGAUUCUUCGUUCAAGCUAUUGUUACCGGAAAGGGUCCAUUGGAGAACCUUGCUGACCACCUUGCAGACCCCGUUAACAACAACGCUUGGGCUUUUGCCACAAACUUUGUCCCCGGAAAAUGAAACUUUUUAAACAAUCUUAAUAUUCCUUGUAAAGUAGUAGUGAGUUACUUGACAAUAGAAUGGAUUGUUUUUCUUUAAUAUUUCAAUGUUUGUGUAGUACUGAGUAACAUCUUACUAAGCUAUGAAUCAAAUGUUGCCACUUUCAUAACAAAGGAUAAUCAAAGAAAGAGAACAGAGCAAAAAAGACAGAAGAUACAUAUAUAUGAGAUAUGGUAACUAGAAAAACUCUAAAGCUGUGACAGGCUUACAACAUCGAAUUUUCAGACCAGAAGAACUUAGGGAAUUCAAUCAACUCUCAAGAAGCAAUACUCAAAAUUAGAGCAAAGUAUUAAUUUUGAAAAAUAAGAUGUUAUUACAUCAUUCAUUAAUUUUGUCGAGAGGUUAAAGAGGAAAUAGAGGACGUUAUAUCAUUUCACGACUAGAACAUUAACAGUUCAAUAAUAAGGGAAGAAAGCCAAUAUGUUUUUUAGUCUGAAAUGUAGUUAUUAGAAACAUAUAAGUUUCCAGGUCCUUAUAUUAUGUGCCUUUAAUUUGGAUAGCAUCUUUGAACAGAUUCGUAAAUCUCUUAUACAUCCUCCUUUCUCACAUAUCUGACAAAUCCUUUGACAUAGUAAUGACCAGAGCCAAAGGACACACUUAUAUAGUUAGCAGAAGACACAAGUAAUGCUAUAUAUGACACUUACUGGCAACAAAUUCUAAGUUGUAUGCACUAAUAACGUAAGCAAUAUUUACACAAUCAAGUUACUUAGUAAGUUACUAAAGGUAAAUCCCUUGAUAAACAUUAAUUGGUAUUCUGGUUAAAAAUAGUAACUGAUCUACUAUCACAUGUUAAAAUUUAUGGAUAGUGUAAAAACAUCUUUACACUGUUAGUAAAUUCUAUUUCUCUUAACACAGAAAAAAUUGUGAUACUGAUGAAUAUCAACAAAUUAAAAUCUGUGUUCAUGUCCUUCAGAACAAGCACUUUCCAAGUCUCAGCAUCUGUUGCUCAUGUAGUGGUUAAGUACUAAGCUGCGUUGAAUCUCUACGCAUAAAUUAACAGUAUCUUGAAUGAGCAUAUGAAAAUAUAACAUGCGUGGCUAACAUAAACAACUUUGUCAAUUGAGGUCUAAUAUAUUAAUAAAGUUUCAAUUGCAUUGCUUCCCAAACAUAAACAUGCAUUAUUGAUCUCCCACAAUUUAUGAAUUUAAUUGUGGCAUCUUUUACCAUGAAGGUAGACAAAUUCCAAGUGGAUAAUGAUAUGGACAUCAUAUUGUGAGCUCAACAUUGAAUGAGCUGUAGUGCUGAUAGAUGAAAUCUGGAGAAAUUUCAAAUGGAUAAUGACAAAGAUAUCAGUAGUGUAAACUCAACAAAUCAGAGGGCAGAGUUCAAUCUUUACAGCCACACAAAGGAGGGCAAUAUUGGAUGGGCCCCUUAAGUAAUAAACAUCAUGCAGAUUGGAGAUUGCCAAGUGCAUUAAUCGCUACACAUGGGAUCUUGAUACCCAAUGAGAUUAUAGAUAUAGAUAUCACUAGAUAAUUACGGCUCUUUCCCUCUUUCUUAAUCCCUAUAUAUGGUGAAUUAAUUCCCUUGUAACUUCAUCUCAUCACAGCCUUCAACAAUAUUUAAUACCAUAAAAUACUCAACACUUUUCUCUUAAUAUAAAUCAUGGCAGCUGCUGCAAUGGCUCUUUCUUCCCCUUCAUUUGCUGGACAGGCAGUCAAACUCUCACCAUCUGCCUCAGAAAAUUCUGGAAAUGGAAGGAUCACUAUGAGAAAGGCUGUCGCCAAGUCUGCCCCAUCUAGCAGCCCAUGGUAUGGCCCUGACCGUGUUAAGUACUUGGGACCAUUCUCUGGUGAGUCCCCAAGCUACUUGACUGGCGAAUUCCCUGGUGACUACGGCUGGGAUACCGCUGGACUUUCAGCUGACCCUGAGACCUUUGCCAAGAACCGUGAACUUGAGGUGAUCCACUGCAGAUGGGCUAUGCUUGGUGCUCUUGGAUGUGUCUUUCCUGAGCUCUUGGCCCGCAACGGUGUAAAGUUUGGUGAGGCUGUGUGGUUCAAGGCCGGAUCCCAGAUCUUCAGCGAGGGUGGACUUGACUACUUGGGCAACCCAAGCUUGGUCCAUGCACAAAGCAUCUUGGCCAUCUGGGCUUGUCAAGUUGUGUUGAUGGGAGCCGUUGAAGGUUACCGCAUUGCUGGUGGACCUCUUGGUGAGGUUGUCGACCCACUCUACCCCGGUGGCAGCUUCGACCCAUUAGGCCUUGCUGAAGACCCUGAGGCAUUUGCCGAGCUCAAGGUAAAGGAGAUUAAGAACGGCAGACUUGCUAUGUUCUCGAUGUUUGGAUUCUUCGUUCAAGCCAUUGUUACUGGAAAGGGUCCAUUGGAAAACCUUGCUGACCACCUUGCAGACCCCGUUAACAACAACGCUUGGGCUUUCGCCACAAACUUUGUUCCCGGAAAAUGAAAAUCUUAAACAUUCUUAAAAUUUGAUUGUUUGAUGGCCUUGUAAAGUAGUUGUCAGUAAUUACUUGACAUUAGAAUGGAUUAUUUUUUUUCAAUAUUCAAAAUUUCCAAUGAUUGUGUAAUCCUGAGUUACAUUUUUCAAAGCCACGAAUAAAAAAUAUUGCCACUUUUAUACCAAAGGGUAGAAGAAAGAGACCAAAGAAAAAAUAAUUGAGAAUUAAGAUGUCGUAACUAGAAAAACUAUAUGCUGUUAUAAGAUUAAAACUUGAAUUAUGGAAUUCAAUUAAUUCUGGAUAAGCAAUACUCAAAAUUAGUGUAAAGUACUAAUGUUGAACACCAUGACGUUAUUACAUGAUUCCUUAUUUUUCUAUCGAGAAGCGAAAGAGGAAAUAAGAAGACAUUGUUUCAUUUCAAUGCUAAGUGAAAACCAAUGUGUUUAACAUAUGACUUUACAGGUCCUUGCAUUAUAUGUCCUGUGAAAAAAUUCAUAAAUUUCUUGAAAAAUCAUCCUUCAUAACAUUGAUACCAUCUUUAGAUUAAAAGAUCUUUCCAAACAAGGCGCAUAGUAAUGACCAUAGCCAAAGCACAUACUUGUAUAGUUAGUUCGCAGAAGAGACAACAUGACACUUAUUGGCAACAAAUUUAAGCUAUGCACUGGUAAUAUAAAAAUUAUAUACAAUCAGUUUUACUUAUAAAGUAAUAUAUGUAAAUCCGUUGAUAACCAUUACUCCAAUGGUAGUCUCGUAAAAAUAGGGAAUUGACUUACUAUCACAUGUUAAAUUUUAUGGAUACGGCAAAAACAUCUUUAUACUGUCAGUGUAUAUAACUUAAAUCUACAAUUAGUAAAAAUAUAUUGUGGUGCUGAUGAAUUCUAACAAAUUAACGUGUUUGUUCAUGUUCUUCUGAAUAAGCUCUUUCAGAGUUUCACCAUUGCUCAUGUAGCAGUUAAGUACUGGAACUAAGCCGCAUUAAAUCUGUAAACAUGAAUUAACAAUGUCUUGAAUGAGCAUAAAACAAGAUAGCAUGUGUUGCUGACAUAAACAACUUUGUCAAUUGGGGUCUAAUAUGUUAAUAAAGUUUCAAUCACAUUGUUUUCCAAACAUAAACAUGCAUUAUUAAUUUCCCACAAUUUAUGCAUCAAGGUGGUAAUAAAUUUAAACUUCUCCUCGAAUUUCCUAAACCAUAGUUCUACAUCUUUUACCCUGCAGGUAGACAAAAUCUAUAGAAAUGGCAAGUGGAUAAUGAUAGGGAUAUCAUAUUGUAAGCUCAAUAUAUCACAGGGUGGAUUUCAAUCCUUGUGGCAAUAUAUGAGAGGACAAUACUGAAUGUGUCCCUUCUUGGAAAAUUAAUGAGUUGUAGAUUCAAGUUGCUACAAUAUAUGGGAUCUUGAUAUCCAAUGAGAUCAUAUGUAUAGAUAUCACUGGAUAAGAGGAUUCUCUCUCUCUAAUUACCUCCUAUAUAUUCUGAACCCCAACUACUUCAGCUUCAUCACAACCAACUUUGACAUUUCAAACACUCAUCACUUUUCUCUUGUUAUAAACCAUGGCAGCUUCUACAAUGGCUCUUUCUUCCCCUUCUUUUGUUGGGCAGGCAGUGAAACUCUCACCCUCUGCCUCAGAAAUCUCUGGAAAUGGAAGGAUCACUAUGAGAAAGGCUGUUGCCAAGUCUGCCCCGUCUAGCAGCCCAUGGUAUGGACCAGACCGUGUUAAGUACUUAGGCCCAUUCUCUGGUGAGUCCCCAAGCUACUUGACCGGUGAAUUCCCUGGUGACUACGGCUGGGAUACCGCUGGACUUUCAGCUGACCCUGAAACUUUUGCCAAGAACCGUGAACUUGAGGUGAUCCACUGCAGAUGGGCUAUGCUUGGUGCUCUUGGAUGUGUCUUCCCUGAGCUAUUGGCCCGUAAUGGUGUCAAGUUCGGUGAGGCUGUGUGGUUCAAGGCUGGAUCCCAGAUCUUCAGCGAGGGUGGACUUGAUUACUUGGGCAACCCAAGCUUGGUCCAUGCACAAAGCAUCUUGGCCAUCUGGGCUUGUCAAGUUGUGUUGAUGGGAGCCGUUGAGGGAUACCGCAUUGCUGGUGGACCUCUUGGUGAGGUUGUCGACCCACUCUACCCCGGUGGCAGCUUCGACCCAUUAGGCCUUGCUGAAGACCCGGAGGCAUUUGCUGAGCUUAAGGUUAAGGAGAUCAAGAACGGCAGACUUGCUAUGUUCUCUAUGUUUGGGUUCUUUGUUCAGGCCAUUGUUACCGGAAAGGGUCCAUUGGAGAACCUCGCUGACCACCUUGCGGAUCCAGUUAAUAACAAUGCCUGGGCCUUUGCCACAAACUUUGUUCCUGGAAAAUGAAUAUCAUAAAUUGAUGGCCUUGUAAAGUUGUAAUUGUGAGUUUACUAGACAAUAUAAUGGAUUUUUCUUAUAUUCCAACUAUGGUGUAGUAUAUAAUUCCAUUUUCCAAUUGCAUGAAUGAAAUACUGCAAGAUUCAUAUCAAAGGGGGAAAAAAGAUGACUAAGCAAAAACAAAAAAGAAAAACCAAUAUACAUUUGGAAUGUGGUAAAAGCUUAAAUCUUGAAUAUACAGACACAGGAACUUAAGGAAUUCAAUUUAUCCUCAAGAAUCAAUAAUAGUCUUAACUUAAUGCCAAGAAUAACAUUGAACAACAUGAUGUUAUUGACAUGAUUCCUAAUUUUUCUAUCUGAGAAGUGAGAUGAUUUAAGAGUACAUAACAAUUUUUCACUUCUACAUCAUUGACAUUUCAUUGAUGAGAGAAAACCAAUGCUGUGUGUUAUGUAAUCUGAACGUAGCAAGUAAAAGCAUCUAUGCAACUGCUUAUAUAACAGAGGCAGGUAUCCUCCAAAGAUGGCAUAUAGUAACGAGUAACGACCAGAGCCAAAAUUAAGGAAAUAGUAAGCAGAAGAUACAAGAAACUAAGAUAUACAUGACACUUAUUAUAAAGGAAAAUAAGUUCUAAGCAUUGACAUUGUAAAAAUGCUAAUGCUCAUGUCACUUAUUAACAAGGGCAGGGGUAAGCUUCAUCAUGCAUAUUUGACAGAACCAAUUAAGUAGUUUUGGUUCAAACAAAUAUAUAUAAGUGUUAAGAAACAAACAAAUUAAAUUGAGGAAUUCAUUUACUAGUAACUAAAUGAAACAUAUACAGAAUGUUCUAUGACUAUAAAUGCCUCUUCAUGACCAUAAGAUUUUUAAAAAUCCAUGCAUGGACCUUGGUUGAAAGAGAAUAUGAUAUUCUGCAUUGCCUUAAUGUCGCCAAAUGCUAUAGUGACUCUUGGAUGCAAUGACAUUAUAUCAAAGCUGCUAAAUGUUUUUACGGAAAAUCUUUUGUCAUUGAAUGUCUCUUUUGUUGUAGUGAUAUGUGUUAAAGAAAUUCAUCAACACAAAUUAAAUUUAGAAUCUGUUUAUCAGAAUCCAUAAAGUUCAAAUCUUGAUCCACAUUUGCUUAUGAAGUAAAUAGAGGUUAAACAUGAAUUGAUAAUAUGAUAAAAAUGAGUUUCAGCUUUUCCUCAAUUUAUUUAGUGAAGGCUUAACCAUAGUUCUACAUUGAAUAAGCUUUAGUGCUGAUAGAUAAAAUUUGGAUAAAUUCCAAAUGGAUAAUGAUAAGAGAUAUCAGUGUAUUGUAAGCUCAACAAAUCAGAGGGUAGAGUUCAAUCCUUGUAUCCACACAUAGGAGGACAGUAUUGGAUGGGUCCCUUCAGUAAACAUCUUAAAAAAUUAGAAGGAUUAGAGAUUGUCAAGUUGCAUUCAUUGCUACACUUAGGAUCUUGAUAUCCAAUGAGAUCAUAGAUAUAGAUAUCAUUAGAUAAUUUGGACUCUUUCCCUCUUAAUUACUCCCUAUAUAUAUGGUGAAUUAAUUCCUUGUAACUUCAUCUCAUUACAGCCAACUUCAACAAUAUCUCAUACCAUCAAACACUUACAUUUCUCUUGAUAUAAACACCAUGGCAGCUGCUACAAUGGCUCUUUCUUCCCCUUCUUUUGCUGGACAAGCAGUGAAACUCUUACCAUCUGCCUCAGAAAUCACAGGAAAUGGAAGGAUCACUAUGAGAAAGGCUGUCGCAAAGUCAGCCCCAUCUAGCAGCCCAUGGUAUGGCCCUGACCGUGUUAAGUACUUGGGUCCAUUCUCUGGUGAGUCCCCUAGCUACUUGAAUGGUGAAUUCCCUGGUGACUACGGGUGGGACACCGCUGGACUUUCAGCAGAUCCAGAAACCUUUGCCAAGAACCGUGAACUCGAGGUGAUCCACUGCAGAUGGGCUAUGCUUGGUGCUCUUGGAUGUGUCUUCCCUGAGCUCUUGGCCCGUAAUGGUGUCAAGUUUGGUGAGGCUGUCUGGUUCAAGGCUGGAUCUCAAAUCUUCAGUGAGGGUGGACUUGACUACUUGGGCAACCCAAGCUUGGUCCAUGCACAGAGCAUCUUGGCCAUCUGGGCUUGCCAAGUUGUACUCAUGGGAGCCGUUGAAGGUUACCGUAUUGCUGGUGGACCUCUUGGUGAGGUUGUAGACCCACUCUACCCCGGUGGAAGCUUCGACCCAUUAGGCCUUGCUGAAGACCCUGAGGCAUUUGCUGAGCUCAAGGUAAAGGAGAUUAAGAACGGUAGACUUGCUAUGUUCUCUAUGUUUGGAUUCUUUGUUCAAGCCAUUGUUACUGGAAAGGGACCAUUGGAGAACCUUGCUGAUCACCUUGCAGACCCAGUAAACAACAACGCCUGGUCCUACGCCACAAACUUUGUCCCCGGAAAAUAAAAAUCUUAAAACAUUCUCAAGUUUCUGAUCAUUUGUUGACCAUGUAAAGUUGUAAUUUGUGAGUUAACUUGAACAAUAGAAUUGAUUUUUCUUACAUCUUAUUCCUGUUAUGGUAUAGUCUUGAAUUUCAUUUUCCAAUGGCAUGAAUGAGAUGCUGCAAGUUUCAUAUCAAAGGGGAAAAACAGGUGACUGUUCAAAAAAAAUUAUACAUUUGGUAUGUGGUAAAAGCUUAAAAGUUGAAUAUAGAGACCAGUAGAGGAACUUAUGGAAUGAUUCAGUUCUCAAGAAGCAAUACUCUUAACUUAGUGCCGACAGUAGCAUGAUGAUUCCUUUAUUUUUAAGUUGAGAAGUGAGAUGAAUUAAGAGGACAUACGUUUAUUUCACUACUACGUACGCAGUGACAUUUCAAUGAUAAGGGAAAACUAAUGUAUAUGUUUUGUCUUCAGAAUCAGCAAGUACUCUCUCUGUUUCAAUUUAAUCCGUCUUACUUUCAUUUUUUACAAUACCUUGCUUCAACUUUUCACUUAACAUGUUUAAGACCACAAGAUUAAAUAACGUUUUGGUACAUUAUACAUAUCUUUGUUUUAAGAUCAUAAGAUUCAAAAAUAUUCUUUACUUUCUUAAAUUCCGUAACAAGUCAAAAUUAGACAAACAAAAUAAAACGGAGUGAGUGAUAUUGACGAGUUUCCAGAUCAUUAAUAGACUGAUAUGUCGUUAAUUUAAUUAGCAUCUUUAACUUGAACAAAAUCAUAAACUUCUUGUAUAAUCUUCCUUCCUUACAUAUGUCUUUAGAGUAAAAGCAUCUGUGUGACAGCUUAUAUAACAGAGGCAGAUAUCCUUCCAAACAUGGUACAUUUUGAUCAGAAUUUACAGCCAAAAGGACACAUAGUAAGCAGAAGAUAUUCAUGACACUAUGGAAAAGAAAAUUAAGUUCUAUGUAUUGACAUUGUCAAAAAUACUUGCACAAUCAUAUCACUUAUUACAGUGGCUCGCAGAGGUAGCCUUCAGCAUAUCAGUUUGACAGAACCAAAUAGCUUUGGCUUAAACCAUGUAUAUGUGUUAACAUAUUCAUUAAAUAUGUAUACAGAAUUUACUAAUACUUGAGGUCAUUGUCCUAGAUUCUAGAACUCAUAAAGUUCAAAUCUUGAUUAGUCUUUCCUUUUUAAGUAAUUACAAGUUGUGAUAAACACCAGUAACAAUAUAACGAGUAUAAUCUCAUAACUAAGGUCUGGCGAGGGUAACGUGUUAGGCAGACCUUACCCUACAUUAAGUGACAUAUAGCGCUGUUAGAUAAAAUCUGGAGAAAUUUUCAAUGGAUAAUGAUAAGAGAUAUCAUAUUGUAAGUUCAACAAAUCACAGAAUAGAGUUCAAGCCUUGUAGCCAAUUAAAGGUGGACAACAUUAGUUGGGUCCCCACUGUAAACAUCCUGUAAAAUUGUUGGACUAGAGAUUGCCAAGUAGCAUUACUUGCUGUAUAUGGGAUCUUGAUACCCAAUGAGAUCAUAAAUAUAGAUAUCACUAGAUAAGGACUCUUUCCCUCUUAAUCCCUAUAUAUGCUGAAUAAUUCCCUUGUAACUUCAACUCAUCACAGCAAACUUCAAAAGUUUACCAUCAAACACUUACUUUUCUCUUGAUAUAAACACAAUGGCAGCUGCUACAAUGGCUCUUUCUUCCCCUUCUUUUGCUGGACAGGCGGUGAAACUCUCACCCUCUGCCUCAGAAAUCUCUGGAAAUGGAAGGAUCACUAUGAGAAAGGCUGUUGCCAAGUCUGCCCCAUCUAGCAGCCCAUGGUAUGGCCCUGACCGUGUUAAGUACUUGGGCCCAUUCUCUGGUGAAUCCCCAAGCUACUUGACCGGUGAAUUCCCUGGUGACUAUGGAUGGGACACUGCUGGACUUUCAGCAGACCCUGAGACCUUUGCCAAGAACCGUGAACUCGAGGUGAUCCACUGUAGAUGGGCUAUGCUUGGUGCUCUUGGAUGUGUCUUUCCUGAGCUCUUGGCCCGCAACGGUGUAAAGUUUGGUGAGGCUGUGUGGUUCAAGGCCGGAUCCCAGAUCUUCAGCGAGGGUGGACUUGACUACUUGGGCAACCCAAGCUUGGUUCAUGCACAAAGCAUCUUGGCCAUUUGGGCUUGCCAAGUUGUGUUGAUGGGAGCUGUUGAAGGUUACCGUAUUGCUGGUGGACCUCUUGGUGAGGUUGUCGACCCACUCUACCCAGGUGGAAGCUUCGACCCAUUAGGCCUUGCUGAAGACCCAGAGGCAUUUGCUGAGCUCAAGGUAAAGGAGAUCAAGAACGGUAGACUUGCUAUGUUCUCUAUGUUUGGAUUCUUUGUUCAAGCCAUUGUUACCGGAAAAGGUCCAUUGGAGAACCUUGCUGAUCACCUUGCAGACCCAGUAAACAACAACGCCUGGGCCUUCGCCACAAACUUUGUUCCCGGAAAGUGAAUACCAUAAAAUGAUUUUUAAAUUUUCAUGUAAAGUUGUUGUGAAUGAGUUGACAAUAUAAUGGAUUUUUCUAUUCCAAUGAUUUUUAGUCCUGAAUUUUCAUCUUCUAAACCCACAAUACGAAUCAAACAAUAAAACUUUCAUUCCAAAAACAAAAGAAACAGAAUAGAGAAUAAAGCCCUAACGAACACUUUCAACGAUAUGGUAAUUAAAAAACCACAGUAAAGGUGUUUAUAGCUUAAACUUCAAUUUGUAGAACAUAGCAGAUUUAUUAGGUGCAUCGUCUAUGCUAUGUUUGAGCUAUUGACACACAUAUACUGACAAUAACAACAAACAGAUAGUAUAUUGUUUGCUUGAAUGUUAAUGUUAUAAAUUACAUUAAUUUCCAGGUCGAAAAUCUCUGCAGAUUUUAAUUUUCCAUUAUCACGUACAGUGGUGUAUAGUGAUCAUUAUGACUAAUGUCUCUUCAUGACCAUGAGAUUAACUAACAAAAGUCUAUUCAUGGAUCUAUGUUAAAAGAAGAAAAAACGAUGGUGGGUACUGGCGCUAGUUGCUUGGAUUCUUUGAAAAUGUCAACAAGUGUGUUUGGAAUUAUCAGCAUAAACAUGAAG
rnacentral:lncRNA from 1 species